GGGUCGUUAGCUCAACGGUUAGAGUGGCUGCCUUUUAAGCAGACAGAUCAGAGUUCAAAUCUCUGGCGACCCACCA
rnacentral:tRNA from 3 species